AGCAGAAACUGAUCUUUGGUACCUUUGGCUUUGAACUUUCUUAUUGUUCACGAAGUGCAAUUGUGCAAAGAAAGUGAAAACCACGUGAAAUACCCUUAUCUUUUCAGAGAAAAAGAAGCUCCUUAUCUGGAACUCAAGCAGUCACAUUCUGCAUUAGUUUCCACAUCAUAAACUCCGAGAAUUCAACGAAUGAAAAAACCCAUGUUCUUUUUUGUGGCUACAAAUUCAUUGUGACAAAGUUGAUGGAUAAAGCUAGCCAAUUAAGGAAUCACAAGAGUAUGGAAAAUAGCUGAGGAAGGAAUGCCAUGGAUUGCAGAGAUCAAUACACCAUAAAGAGAAGCCAUGAUAAAGUUUAAUUUACAAUAAUAAAU
rnacentral:sRNA from 1 species